ACAAACGACUCUCGGCAACGGAUAUCUCGGCUCACGCAUCGAUGAAGAACGUAGCAAAAUGCGAUACUUGGUGUGAAUUGCAGAAUCCCGUGAACCAUCGAGUUUUUGAACGCAAGUUGCGCCCGAAGCCAUCYGGCUGAGGGCACGCCUGCCUGGGCGUCAC
rnacentral:rRNA from 1 species